CCAGAUUUCAGUGUGUGACAGCACGGCAGGAAGAGCCAAAGGCUGCCCAAGUGCUCUCUGUGAGCUUUCACUGCAGGGUCCCCGCUCCCCAUUGCCACUCACCUUAUCCCCUCGUCAGUAAAUGGUGUUGGUCCGCAGAUGCAAAGGAAGGCCCUAGAGUUUUCUGAACUUCUUUGCAAAAAUUCAGAGAGAAGAGCUCGUGAUAUGUGUCCCUGUUUGCCAUUCCAUUCUGGAGAAGGUGCCGAGAGAACAAAUUCAACAUCAAAUCUAGGACAAGAAAAGAGUUUUCAAAGUCUGUCGUUUCAAACCUACUAUUGUCCCAUUUCAAGAAAUGCUGAUUUGUUUCCUAAAAUCCAGGUCAUAACCCCCUUGUUCCAGGAAGCCCUGCAUCCCUUCUCCUCGGAAUGGGAUCACUGGCCGCGAGUGC
rnacentral:lncRNA from 1 species